AGGACGAACGCUGGCGGCGUGCUUAACACAUGCAAGUCGAGCGGAAAGGCCCUUCGGGGUACUCGAGCGGCGAACGGGUGAGUAACACGUGAGUAACCUGCCCCUAGCUCUGGGAUAGCUCCGGGAAACCGGGAUUAAUACCAGAUACGACCACUUUAGACAUCUGUCGUGGUGGAAAGGAUUCCGGCUAGGGAUGGGCUCGCGGCCUAUCAGCUUGUUGGUGGGGUAACGGCCUACCAAGGCGACGACGGGUAGCCGGCCUGAGAGGGCGACCGGCCACACUGGGACUGAGACACGGCCCAGACUCCUACGGGAGGCAGCAGUGGGGAAUAUUGCGCAAUGGGCGAAAGCCUGACGCAGCGACGCCGCGUGGGGGAUGAAGGCCUUCGGGUUGUAAACCCCUUUCAGCUCCGACGAAGCGAAAGUGACGGUAGGAGCAGAAGAAGCACCGGCCAACUACGCGCCAGCAGCCGC
rnacentral:rRNA from 1 species